GGGCACGUGGUCUAGGGGUAUGAUUUUCGCUUCGCAUCUCGUUCCAAGAACGCAAAAUGAUGCCUGUGAAAGGUCGCGGGUUCAAUUCCCGUCGUGUCCA